CUAUUUUACAUAAGGAAAGUGGAUGGUGAUUAACCUCAGAGUCUCUAGGGACAAACUAUCCAGGACUGUGACUGAAAUAGAAGAGGAAUUAACAUCAUUCAGAACUGAACAUGGGGGUUGCCUCUGCUUUGCUGAUGCCCUAAGUGUGUGCUCAAACUAUAUGGUGGAUGCUGCAGCCUGGGGUAAGGGUGUUUUGGGCAGAGGGAGCAGCACAUGAAAAUAAGUUAAGCAGCAUGGUUAGGUACACUCGGAUGGCGAGAAACCAAAGGGAGAAUGGUGAGACAUGAUGCUGAAAGGCUGAUAAGAAACAGAUCAGGAAGAGCCUUGUGGACCAAUCAUAAUACUGAGCACCAAUAACAAUAGCAUGCAUUCUUUUGUUCUUAGUAUUCUAAGCGCUUUUCAUAAACACACGUUUAACCACUCAACAACCCUGGGACGUAGGUAAUAUGAUUUUUUUUUUUUUUUGAGACAGUCUUGCUCUGUUGCCCAGACUGGAGUGCAGUGGCGUGAUCUUGGCUCACUGCAACCUCUCCUGGGUUCAAGCGAUUAUCUGAUCUCAGCCUUCCGAGUAGCUGGGAUUACAGGCGUGCACCACCACUCCCAGCUAAUUUUUGUUUUUUUUUUCGUAGAGAUGGGGUUUUGCCAUGUUGGCCAGGCUGCGAUUAUUUCAUUUUACCAAUGAGUUAAACUGGUUAAAUAGUUUCUUCAGGCUCACACUGCUAGUAAGAGGCAGAAAUGUGGUUUCUGCCCAGGAAGUCUUGGCCCCAGAACCUGCUCCCUUAACUGCAUAUUACUAAUCAAAGGAGUGCGCACUUCAGCCUGAAGGAGAAAUUGACUGAUUUCCUAGAAUAUGAAAUUUGAUUAAAACAAAAGUAGAGAAUUUCACUAAAACCUUCUGGCCUGAUUUUGGAUACUUUGGGAAAUACAAACUCAAGAAUGGAAUGUUACAUCCUUUUUUUUUUUUUUUUUUUUAAUAGAUAUACUAUACAUAUGAUUGUAAUAUACAAAAGAUAAGGUUCACUGGCCAAGCGUGGUGGCUCACGCCUGUAGUCCCAGCUACUCAGGAGGCUGAGGCAGGAGAAUCGCUUGAACCCAGGAGGCAGAGGUCGCAGUGAGCCGAGAUCGCACCACUGCCCUCCAGCCUGGGCGACGGAGCGAAACUCCAUCUCAAAAAACAACAAAACAUCAAUCUUAAGAGUACCAACUUACGAGUUUUACACAUGUGCACACCCAUAUAAUCAUCACUCAUAGACCGGUUUCCACACCCCGAGGCUUCUCAUGCCCCUCUCCCUGUCACUAUGCCUAGCCCCAGGUAACCACUCUUUUGGCCUCUAGCACCUCCAUCUCCUGUUUCUGGACUUCAUGAAGGGGUACGCCUUGUAUCU
rnacentral:lncRNA from 1 species